CAGAGGGAGCAGCCGCCACCGUGGCCGGAGGGCUAGCGUCGGGCCGUUGCCUCGGGCGCCGCCUGCACGGAUGCAAGCCGAGGGCUGCGGCGUCGCCUCUGCCCGGGCUGUGGACCGCGCUGCCGCGUGCCUGAGGGCAUCGCCAUGCCUGGCACCGGCCGUUGGCCGCUGCGGCCGCCUCCAGGUGUAGCGCUAGGAGCAGCCGGGCCGAAGGAUGCUACCGCUCCGCUAGGAGGCUGGCCGAGGGAGCGCUGUCCAGGCCAUGGGUCGCCGACGAAGUUUGCCUUGGAUGGCAUUCAAACGACGCCCUGGAGAUCGUGAGACUUGCCGCGCCUGGGUGGGUGCUGGCUGCCGCCGUCUUCGCCGACCGAUGUGCCGUGAGCGGCCAUGGGGCGUGGAGACGCGUCGUGCGCCACCAUGGCGUGGGGGCCGUGGCCGGUAGCCGCCGGGAGCCACGGCUGCGUGUGUAGGCGAAGGAGCCGAACAUCGGAUGUUGGCUCGCCGUGUCAGCCUCUGGGGCCGAGGGGCGCCGUGCAGCACGCGCAGGCCGGAGGGAGCGUCACUGCGGAGGGCCGGCCGUCUCGCAGCGCCUUGGUGCCGCAUCCGCCGCCGUUCUUCCGCUGUGACCUAUUUCUCUAAUCGAGAGUGGAGUGCGUGAUAACGUGUUCGAGAUCGAUAGAACAAAUGAUUGAACUAUCUCUUUGCAUUAGAUGAAGUGCCAUACAUAGCACUGGAACAUGCGUUUACAAACGGGGUGUCGGUUCAGACAGAACCGACACAACGGGUGGAGAAGUAACCGCAAUGGUUAAUACAAGCAGGGAUUAAUCCCUUAAUUGCUAUGUUAAUUAAUCUUAACAGUUUAAUUAGGGACGAGAAUAGUCGUCUACUAGUUGAUGCCAACCAUAAUUUGAUGUAACGUUGACGCAUUCAUCUCAUGUAUUCAAGGCUGCGGGCUUAGACGCUGAAUUAUUAAUGGGAGAAUGGGUCAAAUAUUGAAUUCGGGAUGA